rnacentral:rRNA from 1 species
ACAGAGGCCCCGAGCAUUAUCCGGAAUCACUGGGCGUAAAGGGUGUGCAGGCGGUUUAGUUAGUCCUUCGUGAAAGCUUUCGGGCUCAACCCGGAAAACGCGGUGGAAACGGCUAAACUCAGAGGACGCGAGAGGUAGAGGGAACUCAUGGUGUAGGGGUGAAAUCCGUUGAUAUCAUGGGGAACACCAAAUGCGAAGGCACUCUACUGGCGCGCUCC